rnacentral:lncRNA from 1 species
ACUUGGUCCUAUCCUAUAUCUAGCAAAACGGUCGUUUUGCAACGCCAAGAAAUUAAAGAGAAAACGACUGUGCUAUAUAACGGUAAACAUAGCUACCAUGUAUUUUGUCUCUUCAAAAAGUGCCCUUAAAAAUCUAAAAAGAGUAUUUCUGUUUUCAAAAUCAGAUUAUUUGGCGACAAAUGAGUAGAAUCGAACUGUCAUUUAACUUUCAAUGUCAAGCUAAACCCUAUUUGCGAUCGACCAAAAACAUUCGUUAAGCACCAAAAAAAGUUUCAUGUUUUUUUUUUUUUCUUCGUCAUGUUUAUGUCAGCCCCACUUUCGCCCUUAUUAAUAGGAGUAGAGAGAUCAGUGAUGGCUCUAAUAUCAACUAAAUUCAAUGGGGAUGAACCACGGCUCAAAAAAACUUCAAAUAUAUGAGCCUAAAUGGCCUCGCCCCCCUCCGAAAUUCAAGAGAUCUUAGAACAAAACUUCCCUUUCAUUUGCGCGAGGAGAGAACAAUUUAUUUUUUCAAAUAAAUGUUGUAGUAGGUGAGACGACAUGCACACAGGUUGCUCUCAAAAUUUUAAAGAGACUCUUCAGUCGACACGUACCACUGAAAUGUAUUAUUAGUAGAAAGAUGAAGGAGAAUAAUUUUGUUUAAUAUAAAUAAAGAAAAUAAUAAAAAUAAAAAUAUAAUAUACUAAUUCUACAUAUUUGAUAAACAUAUUAAAAAAAAAAAAAAAUUAAAAAAAAAAAAAAUGUCAAAGGAAAAUUUUACUUGGUCUAAAUCACAAAGUCUAUUUUUAUUAUUACGUGUAAUGGUAGGUACCUAGGUACUGAAGAAACAGCUGACAAUCUGACUGACAUGUUUGUGCCGGCUGUGCGUUAUAACGAGUCUUAGGUUUCUAAAGUAUAUGUAUUGCUCUUUUCAUCAUUACGCGUAUCGUCCCUUGUAGCUCAGUUGAUGGUGUAUAUGAUUCGCGAGCCCUGAGUUCGAUUCCCGCCAAUUUUUUUCUUUUUUUUCCCCGUGUGGUUGCCCGCUGGAUUUUCAUUUAUUUAUUGGAACCCUGUUUUCCUAAUAUAUUAUUUGUAAAAUGUGAUAUGCAAAAAUGAUAUAAUGACAACAUAGUAGGUAAUUUAUUCAGCUCAAAUGUCAACAUGGUUUCAACGAUUUGCUUUCAUUUUGCCCUCAUGCACAUUUAGGAGUAGAAAGUUCAAAGAAUGUUGUAAAAUCUCUUAAAAGUCUAUGUAGAUGAGGACUUUAUAAAAAAUCUGAAUCUAAAUGGGGCCUUCUCUUCGAAAUUACGGGAACUUAUACAGUAUGUCUCAGAAAUCCUUGACCGUGGCCUCUUAACUUCUGAACGGUUAGGAAUUUUCAAUUUCUGUUUGUUUCUAAGGAUAGGAAGUGGCUUAUGGCCAAUCUUCUGGUGAUGUCAAAAUCCAGGUUCGAACCCUGGAAGUGGUGCUUUUUGGUUAAAAAAAAUGUCAAUAAUCCGAGAAAUUCAAAUGAUAAGGUAUCACUUUGAUUUCAUAUUAUUAAUUAACAGAUAAUAAUAAUAAUACAAAAGCAUGUAAUUUCAUAUUUUUUUACUAUAAUCAGGGGCGGAUCCACGAGGGUUUAAAGUUGAAAAUUAUGGCACCCUGUAGAUUUGGCACUGCGGAACAUUAAGCAGUGCGAAUCGUUUUAAAAGUAUCGAUAAAGUGUCCUUGAACUACUGAAACCAUUAGAACCCCGAUAGUGUCCACCUCCCCCAGUGUCGGAGGCUCGUUUUUUUAAUAUGGUUGAUGUAGGUAGUAUGGGUUUUUAGUAGGUACUAUGGAUUUUUGUUCAAAUUGUUUUAAGUAAUUUAUUGUUUAUAUGGUAGUUAGGAAGGGU